rnacentral:rRNA from 1 species
GGAUAACUACUGGAAACGGUAGCUAAUACCUCAUACUCCUUUUAUCUUAAUGGUAAUUGGGAAAUGUCUUUUCGCUAGGGGAUGAGACUAUAUGGUAUCAGGUAGUUGGUGGGGUAAGAGCCCACCAAGCCUAUGACGCCUAGCUGGUCUGAGAGGAUGAUCAGCCACACUGGAACUGAGACACGGUCCAGACUCCUACGGGAGGCAGCAGUGGGGAAUAUUGCACAAUGGAGGAAACUCUGAUGCAGCAACGCCGCGUGGAGGAUGACGCAUUUCGGUGUGUAAACUCCUUUUAUAUGGGAAGAUAAUGACGGUACCAUAUGAAUAAGCACCGGCUAACUCCGUGCCAGCAGCCGCGGUAAUACGGAGGGUGCAAGCGUUACUCGGAAUCACUGGGCGUAAAGCGCGCGCAGGCGGCCUGAUAAGUUGGAUGUGAAAGCCUACGGCUCAACCGUAGAACUGCAUCCAAAACUAUCAGGCUAGAGUGUGGGAGAGGAAGAUGGAAUUAGUGUGUAAUGGGGGUAAAAUCCCGUAGAGAUAACUAGGAAUACCAAAAGCGAAGGCAAUCUUCUGGAACACUACUGACGCUGAGGCGCGAAAGCGUGGGGAGCAAACGGGAUUAGAUACCCCGGUAGUCCACGCAGUAAACGAUGAAUGUUAGUCGUCGGGGGCCUAGUGUCUUCGGUGAUGCAGCUAACGCAUUAAACAUUCCGCCUGGGGGAGUACGGUCGCAAGAUUAAAACUCAAAGGAAUAGACGGGGACCCGCACAAGUGGUGGAAGCAUGUUGGUUUAAUUCGAAGAUACGCGAAGAACCUUACCUAGCCUUGACAUAUUUUAGAACUCACCAAAAAAUGGAAAAGGUGCCUUCCGGGAGCUAAUUUUACAGGUGCUGCCACGGCUGUCGUCAGCUCCUGGCCUGAAAAAGUUUGGGGUUAAGUCCCCCAACCAAGCGCAACCUUCGUCACUAGUUACUUAACGGUUCGGCCCAAGGACUCUAUUUGGAACUGCCUUCCUAAAGGGGGAGGGAAAAGUGGAGGAAAAAACUCAAAGCUUCCUUGGGCCCUUACCGGGUAGGGGGAACCCCCGUGGUUCCAAUGGGCCGGGACAAUGGGAACCCAAUACCCCCGGAGGGGGGACCAAAUCUUAAAACCUGGGCCUCCCCUUUCCGGAAUUGUUCUCCCGCACUCCCAGGGACAAGAAGCGGGG